rnacentral:tRNA from 1 species
GCCUGGGUGGCUCAGUCGGUUAAGCGCCUGACUUCGGCUCAGGUCAUGAUCUCGCGGUCCGUGAGUUCGAGCCCCGUGUCGGGCU